GCUCCUCUGGCCGGAAGGAGGCCGCUCUGGGGCCGGGAGGGGGCAGCGGGCCACAGCGAGUCUGCCGAGGGCUGAUGGGACCCACAGCCGCGCCGAGCUUUUUUUUUUUUUUACCUUCAACAACCCAGAACGCUGGCGCUAUUUUACAGAUGAGGAAAGUGAGGCCCAGAGAGUGAGGCAAUUGCCCAAGGGGACACAGGCAAUGACAGAUCUGGGGCAAAACCCAUGUGUCCUGACUCCAGGGCCUCUCCCAGCCAUUCCUGGGCCCCCCUACACCCUGCUGUGCCGGCUCCAUCACACUGGGAGAUCCAUACAUAUUUGUGGAAUGAAUAAAGGAUUGAACCAACAAGUGAAAAUGUGAGCAACACCCACGCCGCUUGGAUACUAGGUGUUGUCAACAGGAUCCCCCUCAGCAGCGGAUGCACACGCUCAGGCCUCACUUGCCUUAAAAAACAAAACCCUGUCUUUGACUCCACACGCCCUCCGGCUGCUGCCCCAGCUCCUGCCCAUUCCUGAGCGCGGCUUACACACAUCGUGUCUCCUCACCUCUCAGCGCCUCCCGGCCUCUGCAGCCUGGUUUCCAUGCCCCUCACUCCGCUGAACGUGCCCCCUACAUCCCCAGUGACCUGCAGACACUAAACCCUAAGUCACCCCCCUCCCCCGUUUUGGAGUUUUCUGGGAGAUUCCCGCGCCCCUGAU